rnacentral:lncRNA from 1 species
CGUACCCAUCUGACCAGGCUGGCCCACGUGAUACUGAGAGGCCUUCUGGCCCUGGAAAGACAUGCCAAGAAGAUUAAGUCACCCAGCUCCCAGGCCCUGGCACAGCCCUGGACCAGUUCUACACACUGGACUCCUGAUCGCUGUGAGGACCUGGGGUCACUUAAGAGACUGAACAUCGUGCUAGAACAGAACUUCAGCCUGGAGGCCUGAUUCUUGCUAUCAGAAGUGCCUUUCCGACUCUGGCCAGAGACUUUCCCUGCAUGCUGUCACAGCACGUGGAUGACUAUUCAGGGGUUCAUCUGCAUCUCGUCCGUCGUCCUGGCUGUAGCCUCUGGUGUUCAGGGCUGGGGGCCGAGGGGUCCUUACGAGGCAGGUCUGCUGUGGGACCUGGGAGCCCCACCCUCCAGCUCUCCUGAGGAUUCUACACGCUACCUCCAGUCUUCCUCAGGAGUCCAGUCUCCUGCUCUUUAACGGCCAGAAUUGGCUUCACUGCCAUGACUGAGAACCCUGAGAACCUCACCAGCCGGGCUCGCUGCAAGAACGAGACCUUGAGGGCAGCACACGGGCAUGCUGGCUCCUUCGGGACAGAAGGCAGCAAUAGCCCAUAUGGGAUGAAAGGUGGGUCUCAGCCAGUGGCACAUGGGAACAGAAUCACUAACAAGAAUGAGACAUCCUUAAAGCUCC